rnacentral:tRNA from 1 species
AGGAGUUUAGGUUAAAACAGACCAAGAGCCUUCAAAGCCCUAAGCAAAUCACACCGAUUUAACUCCUG